AAAGAAGCAGUAGGUCGGUAUUUUAGUUGAGGAGAAGUACAUGCUUGAGUAUAUCAGACAUCUUGAGGACCUGCAAAUUGUAUAUAUGAUGCCUACGAUAAGAGAGAAUUCCGGAUUGUACUGCUUCAAUUCCGAAUUCUGGAGGGGGGGGGGCAUUGAAAAUUUUAGAAACUUGGAGGGGGGCAUCGGAAAUUUACCAAUAAUCUCAACAGGGGCCCUGUAAAAAUAUGAGCUUUUUUUCAAGACAUAUCCAUCUGCCCCCCCCCCCCUCGCCAUAAUAAAUGUAAUUUCCCUAAACAGUGAUCAUGUAUAUAUAUUGUAGUAUAAAACUUGAUGUAUGUACAAUAAAGUAUUCUAAACCAGAAUGCGGUGCACCACACACGUCGAUUGGACAACUAGUAGCUUAAGAAAAGUUUUCCCGUAAUACCAUAUUAUAACGUAAUGGCACGUUUUUGACCAAAUAUUUUUAAAAAAAACAUCGAAAUUUCUAAACAAGAAGGGCACCUUUGAUGUUAAUUUAGUAUUUACAAGAGACAUUAGCUUGUACAAAAAGGGCACUUUUCAUCACAAAAAGGGACACUUUUCGUCCUUUGAAACAAUUUGGGAGGGAGGGCACGCGCUCCCUCUGCCCCCCUCUUCCUACGCCCCUGAUUCUAAGACCACUUGAUCCCGAGAUUGAAGGCUUUAUGUAGAUGAACAUUUCGAGUGGAAGAUUCAUACAUAUAUUUAAUUUAGACCUAUAACCAGCUGCGGAAAAUAGAACUAUAGCAGGAAUCGAACCUACGGCCCCGCAAUUCCGUUGCAGUGCUCUAACCAACUGAGUUAUAGAGUUCAGUUGUUGAGCUCCAACCACAAGUUCUUUUUUAUAUACAGUAUAUAGUACAAGUGAUGCCAUUAUAUAAAAUAUGAACAGAUUGAAAGAUUUAUGUAGGAUGGAAAUUUCAAGCACAAAUUUCAAGAAAAAUCCCAAGCGCAAAUUGAGAUUUACAGCGUCAUAUUCCCAAAAAUCUCUAUAUUUAGCCACAGGUUCGAUUCCUGUCAGUUGACAGCAUUUUCGCAGCUGCUCCUGUAGUUAAGUCUAAAAUUGUAUAUAUUGAAUCUUUCGUUAUAAAUUUCCAUCUACUGCAUGCAGGAUCGCCGGGAGAGAGGCAGAGUGGAACUUUAUCUCGGGCGGGGCUCCAAAACAAGGGACCCUUAAAAUUUAUUGAUGCAAGAUUGAUGAACUCAGAAUAUAAAUCCCAGUACCCAGAUGAAUAAUACAUCUAAAAAUCUCAAAAAAUUAAGAAAAUUGUCGGCAAAAAAUAAACGAUUUUAUGUCCGCAAAUUUUUUCCGGCACCAAAUUUCCGGCGCUAAUUUUCCGGCGCCAUAUGUCGUGGAAAUUUUUUGAUCAAGAUUAUACGUAUAGUGUAAUUUACAGCAUGAGUUCCACAUUUGAAUUUUAUUAUACCAGUAAAUUGUUAAACGCGUCCGAAUUUAUCAACAUGAUAAAUGGCAAAUUCGCGGCACCUAACCCUUAACCUUAAUUUUGUGUUACACAGCUUCGAUCAUGUUAUAUAUACCCAUUAUCAGUAACCUUGCCCGCUCAUUCAAGUGCUACAGUAUGUAUAUCUAUACAGGAAAAAAAAUCAAUCCAAAAAUCAAAAAAUCAAAAAAUCAAAAAAUACAAAAAUACAAAAAUCAAAAAAUCAAAAAAUCAAAAAAUACAAAAAUCAAAAAAUCAAAAAAUACAAAAAUCAAAAAAUCAAAAAAUCAAAAAAUCUAAAAAUCUAAAAAUCAAAAAAUCAAAAAAUCAAAAAAUCAAAAAAUCAAAAAAUCAAAAAAUCAAAAAAUCAAAAAAUCAAAAAAUCAAAAAAUCAAAAAAUCAAAAAAUACAAAAAUCAAAAAAUCAAAAAAUACAAAAAUCAAAAAAUCAAAAAAUCAAAAAAUCAAAAAAUACAAAAAUCAAAAAAUCAAAAAAUACAAAAACUGUUUUUGUGCUGUCGCGUCUGGGCCACCGUACGCGGCAGCAAAAAAGCAUG